UUCACUGGUUUCUUCACACUGUCAGUGGCUGACAUUGCCACAGGAGUGCCACCUCCCAGCACAGGGUAUUGCCUGAACACUCGUGCCUAGAUGGGACCAGUGUCCUUUCCAGGGUUGCAAAGAGACACAGCCAGCUGGGAUUCACCACCCAGGACCUCCUCCUGAAGGCAGGUGCAGACACACUGCCUUUUACAGAACUCAUCAGAGCUGAAUCUUUACUGCCUGAAUUAAUCCAGUCCUCCUUUUCAGUGACUACACAGAAUCUGGAGCUUUGGUCCAAGAAUUGGGGAAGCCAGAUUUGCUGCGUAAUGGGAUUCAAAUCCAUGUUUGUUCACCAGGUAUUCCAGUGGGAGCUGUGGGAAUUCCCAUCACAUUUCCUGAAAAUGGGUCUGCUGUACAGCAAGAAGCUCAGGCUCUGAUCAGAUAGAGAGGCACCACUGCAGAUAUGACUGUGAUUUAGUGGUCGAGGUGAGUGGCUUGACUGCUAAACCAUCAAAGUCAUCAUUUUUUCCUCACUGCAUGGGAUGAGGUUUCUUUGCUUUCUACUAUCUGAAGGAAAAAGAGUGACCUGUGAGAGCUUGCAGGUUUUUGAGUUAUUUCAUGAUGCAAGACUACCCUAAGACUAAUGGUGUAAAAUAGUCUUUCUUCUAAACUGCUGCACCCCUAUGAAAAAUAAAGGUGCUAAUAUGUCUGUUUUCCA